rnacentral:rRNA from 1 species
GGAAUCAUUGGGCGUAAAGCGCCUGUAGGUUGUUUAAUAAGUCCGUUGUUAAAGACUAGGGCUUAACCCUAGGAAAGCGAUGGAAACUGAUAGACUUGAGUAUGGCAGGGGUAGAGGGAAUUUCUAGUGUAGCGGUGAAAUGCGUAGAUAUUAGAAAGAGCACCGGUGGCGAAAGCGCUCUACUGGACCAUUACUGACACUGAGAGGCGAAAGCUAGGGGAGCGAAAGGGAUUAGAUACCCCUGUAGUCCUAGCCGUAAACGAUGGAUACUAGAUGUUGUGCAAUUUGGACAGUAUCGUAGCUAACGCGUUAAGUAUCCCGCCUGGGGAGUACGCUCGCAAGGGUGAAACUCAAAGGAAUUGACGGGGGCCCGCACAAGCGGUGGAGCAUGUGGUUUAAUUCGAUGCAACGCGAAGAACCUUACCAGGGCUUGACAUACUACAGAUCUUUUUGAGAAAGAAGAGUGCCUUCGGGAAUGUAGAUACAGGUGGUGCAUGGCUGCCGUCAGCUCGUGUCGUGAAAUGUUGGGUUAAGUCCCGCAACGAGCGCAACCCUCGUUUUUAGUUGCCAAUUUAUUGGGAUCUCUAGAAAGACUGCCGGUGACAAACCGGAGGAAGGUGAGGAUGACGUCAAGUCAGCAUGCCCCUUAUGUCCUGGGCCACACACGUGCUACAAUGGUAAAGACAAAGAGUCGCCAAUUCGCGAGAAUGAGCUAAUCUCAUAAACUUUAUCUAAGUUCGGAUUGUAGGCUGCAAC